UUUAUCCUUUGACUAACUAGCUCCACUAUUAUAUGCUAGACUUCUCAAUUGCUAAAUGCAUUCUUUGUGAAGAUUUUUGAUCUUAUUUUAUUUGUUGUUUUUUUGAGAAUUCGAUGCUAUGAGUCUUCAUCUUUCUAUUCCAAACACUCUCUUUCAAUAUCAUUUAUGAAAAUGUGCUGCAAAUUUAUGUAGGAUGACGAAGAGGACAAUUUUGCCAACAAUGUUGCCAUAGUAUUUGCUGCUAUGGGAGUGUACAUGGAAACUGCACAAUAUCUCAAACGUGACUUGGAGGAAAAUGGGUCAAUGGAGAGAGUGGCCCUUUUUCCUUAAUCUGAAUUUCAAAAUUAUAUCCACUAUGGAUGAGGAUAGGCGGGGCUUGGGGGCCUUGGGAAGAACCAGCAGGGGAUUGUGACACCCAUCGAAGCAAAGUUGUGUCCUAAGAAUAUGGGUAUGGGUUUCAACGACUACCAAAGAAACCCCUGCAAAGGCGCCUGCUGCCUCGUUGGAGCCAGAGGAAAAGAAGCCAUCACCUGAUGUGCCUGGUAAGGAGAAGCUUUUGUCUAAGCAAGCGAACAAGACGAUGCUGAAAAACAAAGCGAAACACAUUACAGCAGAAGAGCUGUUGGCGAAGAAGCAGGAACAGGGUGUUGAAGUUGUGCAAAACGUACACGACAUGCGUGGACCUCAGGUUAGGGUAUUAGCAAGCCUGGAGAAUCUGAACGUGGAAGAGAAGGUGAGGGAGAGUGAUGUUCCUAUGCACGAGCUCCAGCACAAUAUAAGGUCGAUUGUGGACCUAGUUGAGUUGGAUAUUCAGAAGAUCGAUAGGGACCUGAGGAAUGAGAAGGAGAAAGCUCUGAGCUUGCAAGAGGAAAACAGAAGCUGCAAGCUGAGGCAGAACUCCAGAAGAAACAACUGAAUAAUCUAGCAACUAAAUUGUGCACAUGGAACGGCGGAAGCACAAUCACGGUAGAGUCUGAUUCCGUUAGUUUGUACCCCACCUGAUGAUGCCAAAUUGCGCUGAGUUAGCAGCAUGCGAUUGGGGAGGGGUGACCCAUAGCGCCGGAGGUGUGCAAGAACAUAGCUACAUCCGAGGGAUCAUUGACAACUGUGGACAUUGAGUCGAGGCUCGGCUCGGCUCUACGUCGGUCGAAGAGAGUGAUUUUGGUAUCGGCAGAGUGAAGAUUGGCGGUUAGGCGGGGGAUGUUGAGCUUGGAAGCAGCGGAUUGAGCCCAUCGGUUUCCUUCUUGCAGUGUCAAUAGGAGCUUCGGUUCUGAGUCGGAAAGGUAGAACUCGAGCACCUUAGCUGUGUAGAAGGGAUUGAGCGGAGCUGCAGUGGCUCGGCAAUGGAUUACCGCUGGAAACAGGAUCACAAACUGCAAAACGAACACAUUUUCCAAUAAGAAAACUAUCACACCAGUCCCUGCGGAUUGGAGAUACACAUACAUAUGCAGGAUAUGCAGACAACUAGUUUGUCAACGUUUAAUUUCAUUAAAACCAUCCAUCUCCUUUUGAUAAGCGUUGACUUUGUUUUACGAUGAAUCAGUGCUUGUACGUCCCAGAAAACAACCCUUGGACCCGACAGAAAAUUCUCUUCAUGCUUUUCCCAUUUCAAUUUGUUCCUGUUCAAUUUGCACCACGCGCUCGCAGAAAUUUCAUGCCUCAAAUGCAAUUUUUUCAGUA